rnacentral:rRNA from 1 species
CAGCAGCCGCGGUAAUACAGAGGGUGCGAGCGUUAAUCGGAUUUACUGGGCGUAAAGCGUGCGUAGGCGGCUUUUUAAGUCGGAUGUGAAAUCCCUGAGCUUAACUUAGGAAUUGCAUUCGAUACUGGGAAGCUAGAGUAUGGGAGAGGAUGGUAGAAUUCCAGGUGUAGCGGUGAAACGCGUAGAGAUCUGGAGGAAUACCGAUGGCGAAGGCAGCCAUCUGGCCUAAUACUGACGCUGAGGUACGAAAGCAUGGGGAGCAAACAGGAUUAGAUACCCGUGUAGUCCCUGUCUCUUAUAC